UACGGAGGGUGCGAGCGUUAAUCGGAAUUACUGGGCGUAAAGCGCUCGCAGGCGGUUUGUUAAGCUAGAUGUGAAAGCCCCGGGCUCAACCUGGGAUGGUCAUUUAGAACUGGCAGACUAGAGUCUUGGAGAGGGGAGUGGAAUUCCAGGUGUAGCGGUGAAAUGCGUAGAUAUCUGGAGGAACAUCAGUGGCGAAGGCGACUCCCUGGCCAAAGACUGACGCUCAUGUGCGAAAGUGUGGGUAGCGAACAGG
rnacentral:rRNA from 1 species